UCAUCAUGUUUGUUCAGCCAUGGUGGCAUUUAUCUGCCCCUGAGUUGAGUUAAGCUAAAUAUUUUGGCUGUUGUCCAGCGAGGUCACUUGCCUCACAGAACCAUGUGAUGUGUGCAAAGCAUUUCAACUGGGGCAACGGUGGCGCACACACAAUGGACUACAUUGUGUGUUAUCAUGCUUCACCUGGCCUCAGACCUGUUGCAUGAUGUCUUGCGUGCUAACUUGCGUGCUAACAGCAUGUGUUUUAGUCGUAAAGCCUGGAGGAUGACAAGUGGCAUGCAGAUACAGAUGUUAAGAUGACCUUCUCACUUUGGAGAGGGACAAACUGCAGCCAAAGGCAGCAGAUCUACUGAUCCGAUGUUAUACAAGGGAUACGUGCCUGGUGGGAUAGGAUUUGACCAGAAAAGAACAUGCAAGGAAUUCUUCAUCUGUAAUUAUCCGCCACGCAGUUGUUUAUAGGGGCUCAGCUGUAAUUGGAGAGCUCAGCUUUUCAUCCGGACCGACUGGGCUGUGGCGUUGCCAGGCACCUGGAAACCAGUUAAGACGCACACUGAGUCACACCACUACGCUUUUCCAUCUCCAUUUCUAUCAUCACACAUUCUGUCUGGUGUUUUACCUGUUGAUUUUUCCAAAUUUGUCGACAAAUUUUGACAUUUUAUUUCAAACUCCAGAUGAAGCCUGAUUGGCUAUUUGCUACAAAAGAAUGAGAUAUUAUAGUCCAUUUCUGUCCUUCAAAAUCUCUUAAAUGACUGGGAUGUGUGAUGGCAUUGAACGUCACCCAGAAGAUUUAUCUGAUAAAUGCACCAUCUCAGUUCACAAGUCACGGCGCUGCAUCAUCAUUGUGUCUGUUCCUGCCACUCUACAUGUUAUUAUGAUCAAUCCUAGAACAGCAGUCGCAGCACCUUUCCAUUUAAAUUGAACCAUCAUCAGGGUGAAGAUUCUGUUCAGUGUGGUCUCGCGGUAAACGUGUGCUAUGGGAAGAAAAAUCAAUAGAAACUGUUAUUAAUAUAUAAUCAUACAUCAA